AACGAACGCUGGCGGCAUGCCUAACACAUGCAAGUCGAACGGGAUCCUGGUUUCGGCCAGGUGAGAGUGGCGGACGGGUGAGUAACGCGUGGGAACCUGCCCAGUGGUGGGGGAGUAACUGCGGGAAACUGCAGCUAAUACCGCAUGAGCCCGCAAGGGGAAAGAUUGAUCGCCAUUGGAGGGGCCCGCGUUCGAUUAGGUAGUUGGUGAGGUAACGGCUCACCAAGCCUACGAUCGAUAGCUGGUCUGAGAGGAUGAUCAGCCACACUGGGACUGAGAUACGGCCCAGACUCCUACGGGAGGCAGCAGUGGGGAAUAUUGGACAAUGGGGGCAACCCUGAUCCAGCAAUGCCGCGUGAGUGAUGAAGGCCUUCGGUUGUAAAGUCUC
rnacentral:rRNA from 1 species